CUGAUAGUGCUGAAGGAGGUGCAUGGAGCCGAUGUCUGUUGACGCGCUGGCCUCCUCUCACCCUCUCUCUGCUAAAGAGGAAGACAUCAUGAGGCCUGCACAGAUCAGUGAACUGUUUGACACCAUCACCUACAGCAAGGGAGCAGCAGUUCUUGAGGAUGCUGUCUGAGUUCUUGACAGAGCCGGUCUUCUCCCGAGGACUUAGUACGUAUCUGAAUACAUUCAAGUACAGCAACACAGUCUACCAGGACCUCUGGAAGCACCUGCAGAUGG